rnacentral:misc_RNA from 1 species
AGCAUCUCUCUUUCACUUCCAAAGCCUGUAGGUUCUAGUACUGGUGUGGAUGUAGAAUUGUCGUAUGGUGCUUUAUCAUCCCUUGAGGAUGUCAUAGCCAUCUUGAGAAGUGAUGCUUCCAUUGAUCCAUCUGAGGUUUUCAACAGAAUAGUUUCAUCCAUCUGUAUUUUAUUGACUAAGAAUGAGCUUGUAGCCACUCUGCAUGGUUGCACAGCAGCUAUAUGUGAUAAGAUCAAGCAGUCAGCUGAAGGGGCCAUCCAAGCUGUUAUUGAGUUUGUGUCAAAGAGGGGGC